rnacentral:rRNA from 1 species
UGAGAGGAAGUGGGGAUGACGUCAAAUCAGCACGGCCCUUAUGUCCAGGGCUACACACGUGUUACAAUGGCCAGUACAAGGGCAGCUACCGGGUGACCGGAUGCUAAUCUCUAAAGCUGGUCUCAGUUCGGAUCGAAGUCUGCAACCCGACCUUCGUGAAGCUGGAUUCGCUAGUAAUCGCGCAUCAGCCAUGGCGCGGUGAAUACGUUCCCGGGCCUU